rnacentral:rRNA from 1 species
GACGAACGCUGGCGGCGCGCUUAACACAUGCAAGUCGAGCGAGAACCAGGGCUUCGGCCCUGGGGACAGCGGCGAACGGGUGAGUAACACGUGGGUAAUCUGCCCUCGGCACCGGAAUAGCCCGGGGAAACCCGGAUUAAUGCCGGAUGGCCCCUUCACCUCGCGAGGUGUCGGGAAAAGGUAGCUUCGGCCUCUGGCCGACGAUGAGCCCGCGGCGGAUUAGCUUGUUGGCGGGGUAACGGCCCACCAAGGCGACGAUCCGUAGCUGGGCUGAGAGGACGAUCAGCCACACUGGGACUGAGACACGGCCCAGACUCCUACGGGAGGCAGCAGUGGGGAAUCUUGCGCAAUGGGCGAAAGCCUGACGCAGCGACGCCGCGUGAGGGAAGAAGGCCUUCGGGUUGUAAACCUCUUUCAGGAGGGACGAAGCUACUCGGGUGAAUAGCCCAGAGGGUGACGGUACCUCCAGAAGAAGCCCCGGCUAACUACGUGCCAGCCGCCGCGGUAA